rnacentral:rRNA from 1 species
UACAGAGGGUGCGAGCGUUAAUCGGAUUUACUGGGCGUAAAGCGUGCGUAGGCGGCUGAUUAAGUCGGAUGUGAAAUCCCUGAGCUUAACUUAGGAAUUGCAUUCGAUACUGGUCAGCUAGAGUAUGGGAGAGGAUGGUAGAAUUCCAGGUGUAGCGGUGAAAUGCGUAGAGAUCUGGAGGAAUACCGAUGGCGAAGGCAGCCAUCUGGCCUAAUACUGACGCUGAGGUACGAAAGCAUGGGGAGCAAACAGGAUUAGAUACCCGGGUAGU